AAUACUUCGGCCAAGUGGUUAAGACGGCGGCUAGCUAAGCCGUUGGUCUAUGUGCGCGGGAGUUCGAAUCUUCCAGGUGUCG